CAGUCGUGUGAAAGGUAUUCAGCCGUCUCUGGCGGUGUAUUUGCCUUUCACGGGUCAACAUCAGUUUAGUCCGGUAGAAAAAGGCUGGAGGAAGGUGGCACCCUCGGGCGUGUUAUAGCCUCCUGUCAUAUGUGCCGGAUUAGACUGAGGAACGCAGCUUGCAGCAAUGCCGGGGUUCGCCCACGUACAAGCUUAGGAUGUUGACAUAAUGGCUUUAAGCGACCCGUCUUGAAACACGGACCAAGGAGUCUAACAUAUGUGCGAGUGUUU
rnacentral:rRNA from 1 species